rnacentral:misc_RNA from 1 species
AAAGUCGUAACAAGGUCUCCGUAGGUGAACCUGCGGAGGGAUCAUUAUUGAUGAUUAUAUCUCAAACAAACAAUCACAACAACAACAGAAAAAACUCUAUGAAUCAAAAAAGUGCUUGCCUGAUAAAAAUGGAUGGAUAUAUAUUAAAGAAAAAACUUUCAACAACGGAUCUCUUGGCUCUC